rnacentral:rRNA from 1 species
CAGUAGCCACGGGAAUACGGAGGGUGCAAGCGUUAAUCGGAAUUACUGGGCGUAAAGCGCACGCAGGCGGUCUGACAAGUCAGAUGUGAAAUCCCCGGGCUUAACCUGGGAACUGCAUUUGAAACUGUCAGGCUGGAGUCUUGUAGAGGGGGGUGGAAUUCCAGGUGUAGCGGUGAAAUGCGUAGAGAUCUGGAGGAAUACCGGUGGCGAAGGCGGCCCCCUGGACAAAGACUGACGCUCAGGUGCGAAAGCGUGGGGAGCAAACAGGAUUAGAUACCCGUGUAGUCCCUGUCUCUUAUAA